GUUUAUGGCCAUAUUAUGCUAAAUGCACCAUCUGUCAUCUGAUCACCAUAGUUAAGUAGUGUUGGACCUAGUUAGUACUAAGGUGACCAACUGCUUGGGAAACCUACGUGUGUUAGCA
rnacentral:rRNA from 1 species